rnacentral:rRNA from 1 species
UGGGGAAUUUUGGACAAUGGGCGAAAGCCUGAUCCAGCAAUGCCGCGUGUGUGAAGAAGGCCUUCGGGUUGUAAAGCACUUUUGUCCGGAAAGAAAUCCUUGGCUCUAAUACAGUCGGGGGAUGACGGUACCGGAAGAAUAAGCACCGGCUAACUACGUGCCAGCAGCCGCGGUAAUACGUAGGGUGCAAGCGUUAAUCGGAAUUACUGGGCGUAAGCGUGCGCAGGCGGUUUGCUAAGACCGAUGUGAAAUCCCCGGGCUCAACCUGGGAACUGCAUUGGUGACUGGCAGGCUAGAGUAUGGCAGAGGGGGGUAGAAUUCCACGUGUAGCAGUGAAAUGCGUAGAGAUGUGGAGGAAUACCGAUGGCGAAGGCAGCCCCCUGGGCCAAUACUGACGCUCAUGCACGAAAGCGUGGGGAGCAAACAGGAUUAGAUACCCUGGGUAGUCCACGCCCUAAACGAUGUCAACUAGUUGUUGGGGAUUCAUUUCCUUAGUAACGUAGCUAACGCGUGAAGUUGACCGCCUGGGGAGUACGGUCGCAAGAUU